AUACGUAGGGGGCGAGCGUUGUCCGGAAUGAUUGGGCGUAAAGGGCGCGUAGGCGGCCCGGUAAGUCUGGAGUGAAAGUCCUGUUUUUAAGAUGGGAACUGCUUUGGAUACUGUCGGGCUUGAGUGCAGGAGAGGUAAGUGGAAUUCCCAGUGUAGCGGUGAAAUGCGUAGAGAUUGGGAGGAACACCAGUGGCGAAGGCGACUUACUGGACUGUAACUGACGCUGAGGCGCGAAAGUGUGGGGAGCAAACAGGAUUAGAUACCCUGGUAGUCCACACUGUAAACGAUGAAUGCUAGGUGUAGGGGGUAUCGACCCCUUCUGUGCCGCAGUCAACACAAUAAGCAUUCCGCCUGGGGAGUACGGCCGCAAGGUUGAAACUCAAAUGAAUUGACGGGG
rnacentral:rRNA from 1 species